AGCAGCCGCGGUAAUUCCAGCUCCAAUAGCGUAUAUUAAAGUUGUUGCAGUUAAAAAGCUCGUAGUUGAAUUUCGGGAUUAGUAGUCUGGUCGUGCCACUGGUAUGUACUGGUCUUACUGAUUUCUCCUUCCUGAAGAACUGUAAUGUCAUUAAUUUGGUGUUGCGGGGAAUCUGGACUGUUACUUUGAAAAAAUUAGAGUGUUUAAAGCAGGCUAACGCUUGAAUACAUUAGC
rnacentral:rRNA from 1 species